UGGGGAAUAUUGGACAAUGGGCGCAAGCCUGAUCCAGCCAUGCCGCGUGAGUGAUGAAGGCCUUAGGGUUGUAAAGCCCUUUCGCCGGUGAAGAUAAUGACGGUAACCGGAGAAGAGGCCCCGGCUAACUUCGUGCCAGCAGCCGCGGUAAUACGAAGGGGGCUAGCGUUGCUCGGAAUCACUGGACGUAAAGCGCACGUAGGCGGAUCGUUAAGUCAGGGGUGAAAUCCUGGAGCUCAACUCCAGAACUGCCCUUGAUACUGGCGAUCUCGAGUUCGAGAGAGGUUGGUGGAACUCCGAGUGUAGAGGUGAAAAUUCGUAGAUAUUCGGAAGAACACCAGUGGCGAAGGCGGCCAACUGGCUCGAUACUGACGCUGAGGUGCGAAAGCGUGGGGAGCAAAACAGGAUUAGAUACCCUGGUAGUCCACGCCGUAAAACGAUGGAUGCUAGCCGUUGGGGGGUUUACCUCUCAGUGGCGCAGCUAACGCCUUAAGCAUCCCGCCUGGGGAGUACGGUCGCAAGAUUAAAAACUCAAAAGGAAUUGAC
rnacentral:rRNA from 1 species